UGGAGCGUGGCGCGGCUACACAUGCAAGUCGAGCGGAUGAAGAGAGCUUGCUCUCUGAUUCAGCGGCGGACGGGUGAGUAAUGCCUAGGAAUCUGCCUGAUAGUGGGGGACAACGUUUCGAAAGGAACGCUAAUACCGCACACGUCCUACGGGAGAAAGCAGGGGACCUUCGGGCCUUGCGCUAUCAGAUAAGCCUAGGUCGGAUUAGCUAGUUGGUGAGGUAACGGCUCACCAAGGCGACGAUCCGUAACUGGUCUGAGAGGAUGAUCAGUCACACUGGAACUGAGACACGGUCCAGACUCCUACGGGAGGCAGCAGUGGGGAAUAUUGGACAAUGGGCGAAAGCCUGAUCCAGCCAUGCCGCGUGUGUGAAGAAGGUCUUCGGAUUGUAAAGCACUUUAAGUUGGGAGGAAGGGCAUUAACCUAAUACGUUAGUGUUUUGACGUUACCGACAGAAUAAGCACCGGCUAACUUCGUGCCAGCAGCCGCGGUAAUACGAAGGGUGCAAGCGUUAAUCGGAAUUACUGGGCGUAAAGCGCGCGUAGGUGGUUUGUUAAGUUGAAUGUGAAAGCCCCGGGCUCAACCUGGGAACUGCAUCCAAAACUGGCAAGCUAGAGUAUGGCAGAGGGUGGUGGAAUUUCCUGUGUAGCGGUGAAAUGCGUAGAUAUAGGAAGGAACACCAGUGGCGAAGGCGACCACCUGGGCUAAUACUGACACUGAGGUGCGAAAGCGUGGGGAGCAAACAGGAUUAGAUACCCUGGUAGUCCACGCCGUAAACGAUGUCGACUAGCCGUUGGGAUCUUUGAGAUCUUAGUGGCGCAGCUAACGCAUUAAGUCGACCGCCUGGGGAGUACGGCCGCAAGGUUAAAACUCAAAUGAAUUGACGGGGGCCCGCACAAGCGGUGGAGCAUGUGUUUAUUCGAGCAACGCGAGACCUUACCAGGCCUUGACAUGCAGAGAACUUUCCAGAGAUGGAUUGUGCCUUCGGGAACUCUGACCAAAGUGCUGCAUG
rnacentral:rRNA from 1 species